rnacentral:lncRNA from 1 species
CCAUAUAAAUAGUUGGAUUUCAUCCAAUUACUCAACAUGGCUUAUGCACUUUUCAAAAACUUGGCCCUUGCCAAAAAUCCAUUCUCGGGGAUACCCGGUGAAGGCAUCUUACCGAGACCGCCAAGGUUGUUUAUUGUCACACACACAAGCACAUUUCACCUCUGACAACACAACCGUUCCUUGGCGUUGGUUGAGUCCCAGUUUCACAUGGUGGCCAGCGUGAAGUGUACUCAAAUCCUACCUCGGGAGUUAUCCUACGCACCUCUCCAAUCGAGGUAAACUCAAUAAUUGGGAAUCGUGCCCCUCUAAUUAGGCUGACCCACGGAACCCCCGUCACUACAGUGCCCACUUUAUAAUCCACAAACCAAUAAAAUCACAAUAGUAUGACAUGGCUCACUUAACACAUUCAAGGCAAAUCAAAGUAGUUCACAUAUUCUUUAAAUCAUAAAAAUAACCAGUCAUACCCACAUUUAUCAUAAGCCAUUUAAUGUAAAAUCAUGGAUAAACAACACAAUCAUAGUAUAGGUCUCCAAUUACUCUAUUUUUG